rnacentral:rRNA from 1 species
CCUGCGGGUUGUAAAGCACUUUUAGUGGGACAAAAGCUACGGAUUAAUACUCGUGUGGUCUUGAUUUAACCCAAAGAAAAAGCACCGGCCAACUCUGUGC